rnacentral:rRNA from 1 species
AGUGAACGCUGGCGGUAGGCCUAACACAUGCAAGUCGAACGGCAGCACCGUAAGAGCUUGCUCUUACGGGUGGCGAGUGGCGGACGGGUGAGGAAUACAUCGGAAUCUACUUUUUCGUGGGGGAUAACGUAGGGAAACUUACGCUAAUACCGCAUACGACCUACGGGUGAAAGCAGGGGAUCUUCGGACCUUGCGCGAUUGAAUGAGCCGAUGUCGGAUUGGCUAGUUGGCGGGGUAAAGGCCCACCAAGGCGACGAUCCGUAGCUGGUCUGAGAGGAGGAUCGCCCACAUUGGAACUGAGACACGGUCCAUGCGCCUACGGAAGGCAGCAGUGGGGAAUAGUGGACAAUGGGCGCAAGCCUUAUCCAGCCAUACCGCGUGUGUUAAGAAGGCCUUGGGGUUGUAAAGACCUUUUUUUGGGAAAGAAAAGCAGCAGGUUAAUACCCCGCUGUUCUGACGGUACCCAAAGAAUAAGCACCGGCUAACUUCGUG